CUUUUAUUGAGGAGAAGCUAUUCAAAUGAGGCAAGGGGUCAGGUUUCAGGGGGCUGAGUCUAUCUUCAUGAUGUCCACUGUCAGCAGGUUGACUGACACCUGGGUAGGCCACACCCAAGGGCACAGUAAGAGAAGGGGACACACACAAGGCACUUCCAUGGAGAUUCUAUCCUAAACAGGGCAAGGAGUUCUAUUACAAAGGAACAGGUGAGCAUAGCUUCACCCAUGGGGCUUGCAGCAAGACACACACA
rnacentral:lncRNA from 1 species